AUGGCCGUCGUCAGUUCGUACUGUGAAGCAUCCUGUUAAGUCAGGCAACGAGCGAGACCCACGUCCACAGUUGCCAGCAUACCCUCCGGGGUGAUGGGUACACUGUGGAGACCGCCGCUGCUAAAGCGGAGGAAGGAGUGGGCAACGGUAGGUCAGUAUGCCCCGAAUCUCCCGGGGCUACACGCGGGCUACAAUGGUUGGUACAAUGGGCAUCUACCCCGAAAGGGAGGAAAUCUCUUAAAGCCAAUCGUAGUUCGGAUUGAGGGCUGCAACUCGCCCUCAUGAAGCUGGAAUCCGUAGUAAUCGCGUUUCAACAGAACGCGGUGAAUACGUCCCUGCUCCUU
rnacentral:rRNA from 1 species